rnacentral:misc_RNA from 1 species
AAAAAAAAAAAAAAAAGAAAAGACUAGUUAAUCAUAUGAAAAUGUCUCCAGCAGCAGUGAAUUUAUUCAAUUUGACAGUAUAUAGCAAUGCAAGCUUUGAUUGGCCCUCAAUGGUUCCAGUUUUGGGCUCUUAUCGUUUCCAGCGAACUUUUGUGCAUAGUCAUUAUAAGUACAAUUAGUAAGUGGAAUAUUACGAGUUCAGGACAGCAAUUGAGGACGUGAUUAAGGUUUAGCAUUCUAAGUAAGUUUCUGCCUUAUUCCUUUCUUUUUUAAGAUUUUAGAAUCUCUAUGUUUAAAAUAAAAAAGGUUUAACAUUCUUGUAAGUUUCUGCCUUAUUCUUUUUUGUUUUUCAAGAUUUUAGAAUCUCUAUGUAAAAAACAAAACAAUAAUAAAUGGUUUAAUAUUCUUAUAAGUUUGUCUUAUUCAUUUUCUUUUAAGAUUUUAGAAUCUCCGCUUAGCAAAGUCAUCUCAUACAAUUGAUUCCGCUUUUGUCAGCUUUCUCUCCCUGCAAAGUUUCCCUGUGAUAGUAGUAGUUGUACAUAAUGGUAGUAUCCCCAAAAGCACAUACCAUUUCUUGCCCGGCUUCUUCUCUAUAAAUCUGAAUCACUCACUAGUAAGGGAGGGCAACAAUAAUGGAAGUGAGCAGCAGGUACGUGGUGACCAAGGCACAUAUAGAUGGUGCACCAAAAGAGAGUGACUUUGAGCUCAAAUCUGAGUCUAUUUCCCUGUUGCUUGACUCUGGUUCCAAUGAUGUUAUAGUGAAAAAUCUCUUUGUAUCCAUAGACCCUUACCAGCUAAACCGCAUGAAGAGUCAGAGUUCAUCACAAAUAUAUUCCACAUUAGCAGCUGCAAUUAAUCCUGGCGAGGCUAUUGAUGCUUAUGGAGUGGCAAAAGUUUUGGUUUCUGGGAAUCCUGAAUUCCAGAAAGAUGACUUGGUUGUAGGGUUCAUUACAUGGGGAGAUUAUAGUGUCAUAAAACCAGGUGCCAUGCUAAGGAAAUUGGAUCCUAUGGGAUUUCCAUUGUCACACCAUGUUGGAAUUCUAGGAUUUAGUGGACUUACAGCCUAUGUUGGGUUUUUCGAAGUAUGCAAACCCAAGAAGGGGGAGAAGGUGUUUGUAUCUGCUGCUUCUGGAUCAGUUGGAAAUUUGGUUGGACAGUACGCAAAGCUGUUUAGUUGCUAUGUGGUUGGCUGCGCCGGAAGCACAGAAAAGGUCUAAUUCUGUAACCUGUUAGAGUUUGUAUCUAUUUGGUAUUUUUGUUGCAGUUGCUAUUGAAAAAGCAAACGGAACUUGCUUUUGAGAAUGAUUUUACAACUUAAGUUACAGAAUUCCAAAACAAGAAACGAACAGUUUUAAAAUACUUCUUGCUGCUUCAUCUAAAUUGGUUUUUCCCCCAAAAAAAGCAGUUCUUAAUUGGAGUGCGAAACAGGUACAAAUCCUGAAAGAAAAGCUUGGUUUUGAUGAUGCAUUCAACUACAAGGAAGAAAGUGAUCUGAAGGCAACUCUCAGAAGGUACUUUCCUGAUGGGAUUGACAUAUAUUUUGACAAUGUUGGGGCAGAAAUGCAAGAGGCGGCAAUUGCUAACAUGAAUGUGUUUGGUAGAGUAGCAGUUUGUGGGGUGAUUUCUGAGUACACAGAUAGUGGAAGAAAAGCUGCACCUGAUAUGAUAGAUAUUGUGUAUAGAAGAAUCAAAAUCCAAGGGUUUUUAGCUACCGAUUUCUUGAAUGUUUAUGCUGAUUUCAUUUCAACCACUUGUGAUCAUCUUCGUGCCGGCAAGAUGCACACACUUGAAGAUAUCUCAACUGGUGUGGAGAGCAUUCCCUCCUCAUUAAUUGGACUUUUUAGUGGUCAUAAUAUUGGGAAGAAGAUGGUUCAAUUAGCAGAUAGUCCAAUUGACAUAGGGGUUUGAAAAUCCUUAACUGAGACUUAGGCUCUAUUUGUUUCGUGGAAAAUAAAUUGUAUUUCACAGAGAAAUUUCUUCUAAGAAAAUGUUUUUGUUAAAAAUAUUUUUCAUUAUUUGUUACAAUGUUAAACUGAUGGUAUGUGUUUACGUUUUUGGUAUAGCGUAAUCAAAGUUAAAAUGUAA